rnacentral:rRNA from 1 species
CCUACGGGAGGCAGCAGUGAGGAAUAUUGGUCAAUGGCCGGGAGGCUGAACCAGCCAAGUCGCGUGAGGGAAGACGGCCCUACGGGUUGUAAACCUCUUUUGUCAGGGAGCAAGGUGCAGGUCGGGACCUGCUGUGAGAGUACCCGAAGAAAAAGCAUCGGCUAACUCCGUGCCAGCAGCCGCGGUAAUACGGAGGAUGCGAGCGUUAUCCGGAUUUAUUGGGUUUAAGGGGUGCGCAGGCGGAGGCACAAGUCAGCGGUAAAAUCGCGGGGCUCAACCCCGCUCCGCCGUUGAAACUGUGGCCCUUGAGUGCGCGAAGGGUAGGCGGAAUGCGUGGUGUAGCGGUGAAAUGCAUAGAUAUCACGCAGAACUCCGAUCGCGAAGGCAGCCUACCGGAGCGCAACUGACGCUCAUGCACGAAAGCGUGGGUAUCGAACAGGAUUAGAUACCCGAGUAGUC